GAGGAGCGACACAAGAUGGCAGCCACCACGGGCUCGGGAGUAAAAGUCCCUCGCAAUUUCUGACUGUUGGAAGAACUCAAAGAAGGCCAGAAAGGAGUAGGAGAUGGCACAGUUAGCUGGGGUCUAGAAGAUGACGAAGACAUGACACUUACAAGAUGGACAGGGAUGAUAAUUGGGCCUCCAAGAACAAUUUAUGAAAACCGAAUAUACAGCCUUAAAAUAGAAUGUGGACCUAAAUACCCAGAAGCACCCCCCUUUGUAAGAUUUGUAACAAAAAUUAAUAUGAAUGGAGUUAAUGGUUCUAAUGCAGUGGUGGACCCAAGAGCCAUAUCAGUGCUAGCAAAAUGGCAGAAUUCAUAUAGCAUCAAAGUUGUCCUGCAAGAGCUUCGGCGUCAAUGAUGUCUAAAGAAAAUAAGAAACUCCCUCAGCCGCCUGAAGGACAGUGUUACAGCAAUUAAUCAAAAAGAAAAACCACAGGCCCUUCCCUUCCCCCCCCAUUCGAUUUAAGCAGUCUUCAUUUUCCACAGUAGUAAAUUUUCUAAUUACGUCUUGUAGACCUCAAAGUACUGGAAAGGAAGCUCCCAUUCAAAGGAAAUUUAUCUUAAGAUACUGUAAAUGAUACUAACUUUUUGUCCAUUUGAAAUAUAUAAGUUGUGCUAUAACAAAAAAAAAAAAAAAUCUGAGGCCAG